UGAGGAAUAUUGGACAAUGGAUGGAAAUCUGAUCCAGCCAUGCCGCGUGCAGGAAGACGGCCCUAUGGGUUGUAAACUGCUUUUGUAUGGGAGCAAUAAGGACUACGUGUAGUUUGAGGAGAGUACCAUACGAAUAAGCAUCGGCUAACUCCGUGCCAGCAGCCGCGGUAAUACGGAGGAUGCGAGCGUUAUCCGGAAUCAGUGGGAUUAAAGGGUACGUAGGCGGCGAUAUAAGUCAGUGGUGAAAUAUUUCGGCUUAACCGAGAGAUUGCAAUUGAUACUGUGUUGCUAGAAUAUGGUUGCUGUGAGUGGAAUGUGUGGUGUAGCGGUGAAAUGCUUAGAUAUCACACAGAAUAUCGAUUGCGAAGGCAGCUCACAAAGCCAUUAUUGACGCUGAGGCACGAAAGUGUGGGGAUCAAACA
rnacentral:rRNA from 1 species